CUUAAAGGUUUGCUUAAUCCUAAAUGUCUAUAGGAGAUAACACAUAAGUUAAAUCCUUAUAGUACGAGUAUAAUGUUUUUCUGUUUUUGUUUUGUUUUGAGAUGGACUUUUGCUCAUUUCCCAGGCUGGGGUGCAAUGGCGCGAUCUCUGUUCACUUCAACCUCCACCUCCCAGGUUCAAGCGAUUCUCCUGCCUCAGCCUCCCCAGUAGCUGGGAUUACAGGCAUGUGCCACGACAUCCAGCUAAUUUUGUAUUUUUAGUAGAGAAGGGGUUUUGCCAUGUUGGCCAGACUGGUCUCUAACUCCUUACCUCAGGUGAUCCACCUGCCUCAGCUUCCGAAAGUGUUGGAAUUACAGGCAUGAGCCACCCUGCCCUGCCUGUCAUGUUAAUUGUAUUUUAUUAUAUCCUUAAUUCCUUCAAAACUUAAAAUUAUAUCUUAUAAUAAUUAAUAGGAAAAUUCAGUUGAACAUUAUAUCUUAUUUUUAACAUUUAUGAGUAAUAAGAGUUACUUCAUUAAGAAAUUUGAAAGAGGUAGUUUAAAGAUGCCUUUCCAAAGGAAGAAGAAGAAGAAAAAAAAGGAGGACAAGAAGGUAGAAGAGGAGGAAGAGGAGGAGAAGGAAGCCAUGGCAAGGACAACUGGCUACAACCUGCUACUUCAUAUUUUUUCAAAAGGUCCAUGGUGUUUUAAGGAUGUUGAUAAUGGUCCACUUUCAAACUAAAGUAAAAACAAAGCUACCUUAUGAAGAAACCAUCCUGUGAUGGAUUCUCUAAAAAUACAAAAUUAAGAGGGAUGAUCAGUUGAUUAAAUCUGCUGCACUGAGAGAAG
rnacentral:lncRNA from 1 species